GGUUGAGAGAGAGGCAGAAAAGAUGCCUUUUUUGAGACCCAUCAAGCUAUGAGUUAAAGCUGAGGUACACUUGGGUGAUGUCUCCAGCUCAGUUGCCUCUAGGUGCUUUGCUCUGAAAUAGGACAUGAUGUGUCUCAUUUCAGGUGGGCUACUGAGCUGCGUCCUGCAAUACUCCCCUAAUUGUCUUGAUUCUCCAGCUGCAAAGAUCCAUUAGCACAGACAGAAGUUUCUUGCCUUCCCAGCCAGGGAGAAAAAGGCAAAGGAGGUAUGGAAGGGAGGGGGGAGAGCUCAGAAGGAGACUUUGCUGGCAGAUGACUGCAGUGAAUCUCACAGCCCCAUUUAGCACAUCCAUCUUUCCAGAGUAGCUGAUGGCACAUGUGAAAUGCAGCAAGUCCUGGGGCUAUUGUGUAACUUGGGGGAUGCCUGCAGCCGCUGCUCAUAAUUAAUCAUUUAAGCACCAGUAAAAUCAAGUGACUUUCCUGACGGUACCCAAACUGCUGACCUCAAUGCAUUUCAAAAGUUCGCUGGAUGCUGAACCUCGGAUGACCCAUGGAUGGAUCUGGAAUAAUAAUUUUCAUAAUCCUCAAGUCAUUAUCUUAAGAGGGAAUGUAUUGUUCUCCUAAUUAAGUCCAUCCACACACUGUGCAGCUUCCCAUGCAAAUGCACUGUGCAUAAACUAAUUAAAAGAAAUAUACAGCCACAAGGACUUAAACUGCCUUUCAUGCAAUCUCUUUAAAUUAGAAGGAGUCUCCCUCCUCCCCCCCUCACACACACACUCUAACAAGGGAUUCGGCACCAUAUUCAGCAGGGAAAACCACCGAGCAUUUUGGAUCAGAAUCUGGAAUUCCCCAAAAUUUAUUAGAAAGCUUUUGUUUUAUGACAUUUUUGCGAGGGCCCUGGAUGUGUAGAAGACCCAAAUUAAGUGAGAGUUAUGAUCAUUUAAUAGGAGACAGUCCCUGCCCUAAAGAGCUCACAGCCUAAACAGACAAGACAGCCAAGAGCUGGAAGAGCCUUUUUAGCAGUUAAACAGCUCAGGCAUUGAGGAGUUGAAUGACUUUUUCAAGGUCAUGCAUACAGAGCUGGGAACUGGAGGCAGACCUGGACCAGCAGUGGAUGUACCCGAGUCUCCUGCCUUUAGCAAUACACCUAAAAGAUGUGAUCUGUAGAAACUUCUUUAAUGCAACAACACUGAAGGGCAAUUUCCCAGUGGAACUGAAGGGUGUUUGGUUAACUGGGGGCUGGCUGUUGGACUGCUUGGCUGUAUUCAGUAGUUAUUUCCUGUUCUCAGUGUGGUGGAGGCUGUGCCACUGGAAAGCAAUGGGCUGGAAGCCUCUAUUUGUGUUUGGUUGUGGCAAGGAUGUGAAUGAAGCAAGUUGAAGCUUCAUUCAUUUAUUGUCAGGGUCAGCCUUCCUGCUGUAAUUUCCCUCGAGAAUACUGCUGACAUUGCCUUGGGCUUCUGCUUUGCAGAAGAGGAGUGGAAUGUGUCUUGGAUGUGUCCUUCUUGCUGGUUUCACUCCUCAUGUAGGAUGACUGGUGUCUGCAGGUAUGCCAGAGCACUGUGGUGUUACUGCUUGUUCUCCUCCUGUAGGAAAUCAACAGCAACUUCAGUAUUGUGUCUAAAUAUAGAUAAUAUAUGUUCAAACAUAUCAUCCUAGUCUCCACGAUGAUAGCAGGGAUAGGUGUCGGUACAUCUUAACGUGCUAGAUUGGGGGUAGCCUAAACCAGUGGGUGUGCCAGCAAAAGGUAACUUGGGUUUUUGCCUUGCUCAAACUUUCUCCCACAAAUACCUUGCUUGGCUGCUGCGGUUAUGAGAUACUCCAGACAAAGCCCGGCGCGUGUGAGAUGGGGCAACAACUUUGUAAACUGAAUCUGAGUUUAAUGAUGGAGCAUCUCGGUGUUUUCACCGGUCUGAGUGGUCUUCAGAACGUUGGUGGUACAGAGAUUGGCAUUUGCAAAUCUCGCAUGAUGGUGAACCUGCUGUGCACAAAGACCAUGAAUGACAGGUCACAGGUCACAUAGCAAAGGAGCAGUUUGUGAGCAGUCUGAUCUGAGCAAAGUACCCACACAAAGAAGAUGGUAUUUCGCCGAGGUGAACUGAGUCAAUGCAGCCAUGCCCACCGACAAGGGAGGACACGGCAGCAACCAUGCAGCUUUGAUCCACAGGUUGGAAUAGUGUCAGCUAGAUGCUAGAUGAAGAUGGGCUGUGUAGCUCACAGCCCUGCAGAAGCCUUUAAGUUCUGCCAAACAGACAGUAGUUGGUGCCUGCAUCGUCUGAACGAGUGACAUCUGCAAUUAUUGAGGCAAUAGAGGAGCAAGUUGCAGAAACAGCACAUUAGUGUGUGAAUGCCAUCCACAGGGGGACUAGUCCAGGGAGAAGUGGCAACCAAGCCAUCAACAGCCUGGCCAUGGCUGGAUAGGAAUUUGCACACGAGUUUUGGGAAAACAGAGGAUUUCCUCGCUGUUGUUUGUAGUGGGUGUUUAUAGGUGCAAAGUGGAAGAGGAAAUUUCCUCAGCCUGGUCUUGAUUACUGUCUCAUUUUGCAUGUGGCAGGUUUCCUGGCAGCAUCCCUACCAAUGCAGCAGUCAUUGGAAAAGGAGGGUGGCAAAGAGCUGGGAUCCACCCGGAGGCCCCUGCAGCAUGGGUUCAGAACCGGAGCGAACAGGCAGUUCUCUUAUCUGAUGUAGCCUGGAGAGCAGACAGAUAGGACUGCAGCAAUCAGUAUGAUGGGAAUGUGGUGGGUGGACUCUACCAAGAGAAAAGAAACCCUCCCCUCUAUGGAUGAGCCUUCAUCUCUGUUUCCCCUCUCCAGUCCUCAUUCCGGUAAGAGGGAGGAUCUUUUCCCCAUCUAGCAAUGAGAUGAAAGAGUGCCCCCCAUUUGACACUUCAUGAGUUGGCUGAACCUACAAAAUGAUCUUCAUAAAAUCCUGAUUCCAAAGCAUCAAAGCCUUUUCCUGACUGGUAAAAACCCUAAAAAUUCCUGGAAGAACUGCCAAAGGGCAAUGGGGCUGAUUCUGUCAACUGCCUUUGGUUAGAGCUGGGUUUGGUUAUUUAUGGGGGCUGGGGGAGGCAAGAACUUUCCAGAUGGGCGGCUGAACCAAAUAUAACAAUGAUAAAAAUCAAUGCAGUUAUGUGAAGGGAAAAGAAUGCCUGUGCUGAAGGGCUGCUUGAGGCACACGCUUCUCUGUGUGAGACAUCCCUCAGCACCGUGCUACUUGUGGCAUCCCACCCUGUGCUGCUCCAUCCCUGUGUGCUGCACAGGCACCUCCUCCGUGCCUGCUGAAAGGCAGCCUUUGCUGGGAGGAUGCUGGCUGGAUUUAGUGGUGCAAAAUCAUCUGGGUUCUCAAGUCAUCCUGAAGUAUUAAUUCUGAUUGCUGAGAGCCCUGUUGGUGUGUGUGGCAUUGCACAGAGCGAAAACUCUGUCCCUUCUCCAAAGGCAUCGCAGUCUAGGCAUACAUGGCAGGAGAAAGCAUAAGAAAGGCAAAGCAUAUGGGAUUGGGACUGAUUGUUAGACCUUUGUAUGCAUCCAAGAAUAGAGGAGGAUUCAGUAAUUCCUUCAAGAAGGAAGCUUGCUUGCCAUCUACUUAGUGAAGAAGCAUGCUGAGUGGUGCAAGUGGGAAGAUGGCUGGGAGUCAGGACUGUGUGGGAGACAUGAAAUAUCUGCUGAGAAAGGAAAUCUGCUGGAGAGGGUUGGAGUUGGUGACUGCAAACUGCCUUUUGGCUGAGAGUGCCAUUGGGUUUCCUAUGUUAGUGAAGUUUGGGAUGCCUGCAUGGGCUGUUAAUUAUCCAGUCCAUUAUCAGCACUUUCUUUGUGUGAUCUUUGUUUUUGGAGGUGUCCCCUGGUGGAAACCCCUCAGUACUGUCAUGGAAAGGAUAUGUAAGAAAUUGUCCCUUGGGCAAUGCUUUCUUUCUACUGGGUCCUUUUCUACUUCUUUCACUCCGGUAUUUGUACUCUCAGCCUCACCUGCUGACCAAUACGCAUUUAUACUGUUGAAAGGGUGGUGAGGCUUAGCCUGCUGAGGUUGCUGUCCAUCACUGCAGUGAAUUCCAGCUCUCUAGGUAAGUCUAAUGAAAUUGGGGGAAUUAGUCUGUCUUAUCCAACCAGCAGAGCCCUAUUCAGUUGGGUUUCUUUGUUUAGGUGGUGUUCUGCAUCAGUCUGUGGUCCCAUCAGUUGCCCUUCACCAGCCGGCUGUCUUGUGGGAGCCCAGCCCUGGCCACAGCCAUCAGUCAAGGAAGGUGCUGGCUCCUCUCCCUGCUCCUCAACCAGGGUUGGACCCUCCCUGCAGCAAGAGAUGGCUGGGAUGAGAAGCAUUCAUCAGAGCUCUAGGGUUUCGUUUCCUUUAAACUGACAACUUUUGGAAUCAGACAAGAUGCGUCUCUGCUGCUUGACAAGGUUCAUAUGCUUUUGCAGGAAGCUCAGAAAAUGGCUUUUACAUUCACAGCUUUUUCUGCUCUAACGCAGGCAGAAUAAUCUUCAACGUGGAAGCUGAAACCCUGUCCUGGGGUAGCACGUCCACGGAGAAGGUCACAUACAACUGACAAUGCUGAGCUAGAUCCAGGCCAGCGCUCUGACUCCACUGGUGACCUUGCGGGGGACAUGGAACCACUGGCUGUCACAGCACCAGAGGGAGCAGAGGAUGCAACAGCAUCGUCAGUCAAGGUGGAAGGAGGGGACAAAGCAGCGGCAAGAGGGGAGGUGGAAAGCCCAAAGGGAGCAGGUCCAGGUGGAACAGGUCCUCAAGGAGCAGCGGCAAUUGUGGCAGAAACAUGGGAAUACCCAGAGGCAGAAGUUGCUGCAGCAUGUGCCCGGGCAGCAGAAAGGAUUGCAGUGUCACAAGCAGCCAAGGUGUUGCAAUCAGCAAUAGCUGAGCUCAAAGAGAAGAGGAGCAGCACGUGGCUAAAGCCAAAGAACACCACUCAGCAGCAGGAGGAGGACUGGGUGGAAGAGGGAAAGGUGAAAUGAAAUGAAGGAGAGCUGGUGUUCUGGACCAUACCUGAUGGGGAGCAGGUACCCUGGCACCAUGACAGCUCCUCAAGUGCAAUAGGGCUGCUGGUUACAUCUCUUUUGUGACUGCCCAUGCUAUUAAAAAUAAAGAUAUGCCAUAUUCCA